GACGAACGCUGGCGGCGUGCUUAACACAUGCAAGUCGAACGGAAAGGCCCUGCUUUUGUGGGGUGCUCGAGUGGCGAACGGGUGAGUAACACGUGCGUAACCUGCCCUUGACUUUGGGAUAACUUCAGGAAACUUGGGCUAAUACCGGAUAGGAGCUCCUGCUGCAUGGUGGGGGUUGGAAAGUUUCGGCGGUUGGGGAUGGACUCGCGGCUUAUCGGCUUGUUGGUGGGGUAGUGGCUUACCACGGCUUUGACGGGUAGUCGGCCUGAGAGGGUGGCCGGCGACAUUGGUACUAAGGGACGGCCCAGACGCGUACGGGGGGCAGCAGUGGGGAGUAUUGCACAGUGGGCGGAAGCCUGGUGCAGAAACGCCGCGUGCGGGAUGACGGCCUUCGGGUUGUAAACCGCUUUCGCCUGUGACGAAGCGUGAGUGACGGUAAUGGGUAAAGAAGCACCGGCUAACUACGUG
rnacentral:rRNA from 1 species